GAGUUCACUUGGUUGGGAAAAUGAUGCAAUGUUCCAUGCUGACUCAUUUGGGUCAUGAUAGAGCUCUCUUUCUCCAUGUGAUUGGAGAGUUACAGAACAGCUGUGGAAGAAUAUGGCCAAUGAGCCAAGUGGUACAUAGCAUCUACAGAGUGAAAAAAAAAUAGUUUAUACUUGAAAACCUUGCCCUGAAAAUUGGAGUGGUCUUUGGGGAUUCCCACGGCAUAGAAAUCACUACAAACAAGUUGUUCACACAGAAGUCUAGAGACUUGUCCACAUUGUCCUGUCCCUCAUUGUUUGAGGUAAGCCUCAAGAAUAUUAAUGUUCUGCAUUUUAUGACUGUUGAAAAAGCUACCUGGGUAUCAGAGAAAGCUCUGUGGCGGAAAACUGAAUGAUCCACAUGAGAGAUAGAUAAGGUGGAGUAUCAAUAUCUUUUCUGGGGAUCCUAAAAAGGCAUUGAAAUAGGAGGACUACAGGGAAGGUUUAUCCUACAUCUUCAAAAUGUGCCCAGGAAAGUCUGUACUGGAAGCAAGAUUACAUUCAAGGACACUGUCACCAGGGGCCUCUUUGAAUCAGCGUCAGGAUGCAAGUUUGAUGUUCUCUCCAUGCUGUGAGUAACCUCUGAUUACCAGAUCACAGAUCUUCCAAAUUGAUUUGGGAAGUAUUUAUUCUUUUGUCUGAGAAUUCUUGGCUGCUCUAGAAUGAAAAUUUUAGGGCAUAAACUGAGGAGCUAUUCCCAUGUUGUUCACUAUGAAGAAUCAAGCUGGACCAAAAACAUUCAUUAUCUGUGCACUCAAAGUGGUUCCUGGCUAAUAUUACAUAGAGACCCGGCAUGUAACGAAGAAUCUGGUUAUAGAAAUAAAUGCUUUUAAUGAAAAUAUCAUUUCUAUGUAAUAAUAAGAAACACUGCUUUAUUUCCUUUUGCUCAUUUUGGUUUUUGUGGCUUUAAACUAGAAUGUACUAAAUGUGCCUAAUAAUUUUUAGAGAAUCUGUUGUUGGAAACAGCUUUAAUAAAAAUAAAAUGUGUGCCUAAUUUUCACACAAACCAUAAUAAGAUCAUACUAAAGUAAAGAAUACACUUGCACCUUGUGGGGCAAUAAUUAGAAACUAGAACCUGGAAAACUAUAAACGUUGUUAUGUAGAACUGUAAGUUUCUCUUGAAAUUGGAUUUGAACGUAAGUAAACCAAAUAUAGUAGAUGUUUUAAUGCAAGACAAUGCAGCCAGCUAAAUUGUAAAACUACUGUAUUUAAUUAUUUUUGGUUUUUCAUUAAGAGAAACAUGUUUUUCCAGCAGAGGAUAGCAGAACACACACAUAUUCAUACAUACAAAUAAAAACACACCUAUGUUCAAAUCUUCCACUAAUGUCAUCUUUUUGUUUCUCUCCCUCACAAGAACACACAAUUUUAAAUAAUAUAUAAGCAUAUAAAUACAUACA